AGAUAUGUGAGUAAACUCGGGGUGUCUAGGAAGUGAAAAGGGGGCAGUUGCCUCUGUUUUGCCACAGCCAUAUGCAGAGAGUGAGUAGAAGGCCUUCCUAACAUGGAAAGGCCAUGUGAGAAUGUCAAAUGUAUAGGUUGCCCACUCAAAUUGCAAAGCAGUGGUAAAAUUCACACUCAAAUGGCUACAUAUGUAUGGCAUAGGAGUGACCACCAGGGAUGAAGUUUUGGGAAAAACAUCAUGAUGAACCUGAACGUUGGAUUCCUGUAUUGUCAGUCAGUCAGGAGCCAGUAUGGGUACCUGGUUUCAGAAGAUGCCAGACAACUGGAGGAAAGAGAAAGGUGAUUUACCUAACAGUGGAAGGAAGAACUUGGUGCAAAAGAAAAUCAACUGAAGAUUGGGAUUGUUGGUUGGGAACAGCACUGUCUCUAGGUAUCUGAAAGAUGAACAAGAGAUGAUUAGACUCAUUCUGCUUAGAGAUGAAAGACCAAAUAAAGACCCAUAUGUAGAAAUCCA
rnacentral:lncRNA from 1 species